UUUGAAUGCAAAAUUGGGAGUCUUUUAUCAAGUAACUUCAUCUUUACUUGAAGAUAAUUCUCCUGAAAGUGUUGAAUUUCUCUAUAAGAAUCGCAUUCGGUAGCCCACUCUCCAAAUGUUGGCUUUGUACAAUUUUCUUAAUUACUCUAGUUACACUGGUUUUUAGCUAACUUAAGAAGGUGUUGAAUUUCUGUUGAAAUAUAGCAUCCAGUAGCCAAGCAGGAUAUUGAAUCUCUUUAUAAGUAGCAGUAUCAGAGGACUGUGUACAAUUUUUCUUAGGUGUCUAGUUUCACCCUAAUUUUCAUUUAGUUUGAGAAGGUAUAAAUUGUCUUAAGCUCUGGACUCAGCUUCCCUCUUUUGCACUACCUUUCUGUUUAAUCUUCUAUACCAAUUCCAUCCUGUCCUAUAUGCAUCAUUUCUAAGUUUUAUUUUGCAAAUUUAAUUCUUAAUUAGUAUAUUCAAAUGUAGAUACUACAUUCUUUAUAUUUAAAAUGAAUUAUCUAUUGUGAUAUCUUCUUCUUUGGAAAGGAAUUAUCAAUGAGCUUAAUUGCCUUCGGUGGUUGGUUGUUAUAAGGAUUUCAAAGUUUAGCACUAAAAUAUCUAGAGUAAAAUUUUAUUAUAGUUAAACAAUUUUUUGAAGCAUACUUGCAGGUUUGAUACUUAAAUGUUGAUGUUGAUGUUUGAUGUUGAAAUAGCCACCUCCUUCAAUACUGCAUUGCAUCUUUUAACUGAUGUAUUUUCGUGCUAUGUUUACGCAAGACAAGGGACAGAAUUAUGAAGUGUACUCUCUAUAUAUGUAAAUAUAUACUUUGAUUGAAGAAUUGUGGUAGCUUUAGAUGGUUAAUUAUAAAGAUAAUGAAUGAUUAUGUAGUGGAUGAUUUUAUUAAGUUAAUAAUAUUUUUUUUUGUAUUUUUGUCAUUAUUUGCUAUGGGGACAUUGAGCCAGCCAGGUACACAAAAAGAAUGUCAAAUUUUGAUUUGGUAACAAUAUAAUUCGUUAACAAAGCAUUGAAUAAGUUUUAAUAUAGCAACAAUUUUUUUAUACAUUUAACAACAAAUUUUUAUUGCUAAUGGCAUUAAAAAUAUAAUAUUUGGCAACGAAAAAUUAACUUAAUAAAAACGGAGAGGAUAUUGUUGCUAAUACUAAAAUAAAAGGCAAUAUUUUUUAUCGUUACAAAUUAUAUUAACUUUCGUUGCACAUAUAAAGAAACGACAACAUAUAAUGUCGUUAAUCGACGACUUUCGUUAUUGAAAAAUAAUCAGCAACAAACAUUUUCGUUGUUGAUUCAGCAUAAUGUCGUUGCCAAAUAAUAUAAUCAGCAACGAAAAUCGUUGCUAAAAAGUUUACAUUCCGCAACGAAAGCAAGCUUAGGCAACAAUUUUCAUAAUUUACUGCAACGAAAAAUAUCGUUACAAAAUGAUGUCAAUUGCAACGAAAAUGCAUGGUCGUUGCAAAAAAAAAAAGAGUUCAUUUCGUUGUCAAUUAGCAGGCUUUUGCAACGAAAUGGGAUUUUUAGCUAUGAAAUUUUAAUUAUUCUGCAACAAUACAUUUUGUUGCUAAAGGAUCGAUGUCUCUGUACGAAAGCCAAAUUUCGUUACAAAAUGUAUUACUUUUGGCAACGAAAAAAAUAUGUUCGUUGCGGAACAAUUAGCAUUGCUCAUUGCGCAACGAAAGACGCAAUGACAGUAAAGUCGUUGCCAAAACUCUUUUGCAAUGAAAUUUGUCACCUUUAGCAACGAAAAUCGGUGGUUGCUGAAGCCUCAUUUUUUUGUAGUGACAUGGUUUAAUGCAGAUUAUCACAUAAGAGCAAGUUACUAAAGAACUAGCUCGAAGCGUUUCUUGUGCAGUUAGGAGAAUUCGUCAUUUCAUUGUCCUACACGAUUAAGUGUAUAUACAACCACAAUGAGCCACAUAAUGACGCUUAUUAGUCACUUAUGUUAGGUCUACUUUACAUCUCAUCAUUCUUUCUUUUUAAAAUUGAUACACAAUGCUCGAUCGUGUAAUUAAAUCUUUCUAGGACACUUUAUUAACCAUUCAGUUAUUACUUUAAACUUUAUUUUACGUCUUAUUACGUUUUCUCUUUCUUUACACUUAAUAUAUAACUCAAGUUCUGAAAAACUCGCGCGCACCGACAUUUUAUCAUCUACUUCAUCCUCAUUCAUAAAUUGCUUCAAAUGAUGACACACAAUAUUGAUGAGCAUCCAUUUGAUUAAGUAAUUAAUCAUCAUCUCGUAACUUAAUCUGGUAGUUGUAUUUUCGACUUAUACCAAAGUAUACAUCCCUUCAAAUUAUUUUUAUAAUAUUCGCAUAAAAAUAUGUGAUUAAACUUUUCAUAGUCAAAUACGUCACAAGUUAACUUACUCUAGUCAAUUUUUCGACUCGUCAAUUUAUAAUUAUUUUUAUUUCGAUGAAAGCCUAAUACCCUUAUUAAGCCUUCUUAACCUCUUUAUUAUUCAUCAUAAACUCUCUUCUAAUAUUAUUAAUUAUUUAAUAAUAUUUUAUUCCUUUACGAAUAUCAUUAAUCAUUUAAUAAUAUUUCAUUCAUUUACAAAUAUUAUUAAUUAUUUAAUAAUAUUUUAAUCACCUUGAUCAUUUAGUAUAAUAAUAUCUUAAUCAUUUACAAACAUUAUUAAUCAUUUAAUAAUAUUUUAAUCGCUUUCUAAUAUUAUUAAUCCUUUAAUAAUAAUUUGAUCACUCACUAAUAUUAUUAAUCAUUUAAUAAUAUUUUAAUCAUCUUCUAAUAUUAUUAAUUAUUUAAUAAUAUUUUAAUCAUUCUCAAAUAUUAUUAAUCCUUGAAUAAUAUUUAAAUCAUAUUCUAAUAUUAUUAAUCCUUGAAUAAUAUUUAAAUCAUAUUCUAAUAAUAUUAAUCAUUUAAUAACAUUUUAAUCAAUUACUAAUAUUAUUAACCAUUUAAUAAUAUUUUAAUAUAAUAUUAUUAAUCAUUUAAUAAUAUUUUAAUCAUUUAUGAAACUCAUAAAAAAUUUAAUUUAAUUGUUUACCCUUUACUAUUUUAUUUAUUUUACCAUCAUAAAAUGCCAUAAAUACAACAUUUUAUUAAAAAUGACCAAAAUACCAUUCAAAAAUCUGAAUACAUCAUAUUAAGGGCCUUUAAGUCAUAAAAUCACAUUUUCACAAUUUUCAAUUUCAUUCAUUUAACUUAAUUUAUCCCUUUAUUCAUAUCUUGAACAAUUACAUGAAAAAUACGAAAACAACCCUGAAAAUUUUUCUUUUCUGGAAAAUAUCAGUAUAUGGUAUUCUCAUGAACAUAUAUUUUUCUGGAAUUUUUCAAUUUUUUUUACUAUUUUUAAAUAGGCUAAAAUAGUCCAAAAUUGUAACAUUUAUUGAAAAUUAUCCUUUUCUCCCAAAAUUCUGAAAUUUAUAGGGUAGCUACAUAUCAUCAAACACAGCCUCCUGUAAAAAUUUCACAUUUAAUUUCUUUGAGUUGUAGAUUCGAAAAAUUCCCAUUUUGGACAGAACCUAGUUAACUUGAUAUAUUAUCAUACCACAAAAGGCUAGAAUUUUUAGAGCAUCAAAAGUGGCCGAAAUUGCCCUCUUAGUAAACUGGCCAAGAAACCCUAAGGGUUUUCCAGAUUUUUCUUCACAGUUUUACCAAAAAGGACACCACGGUUGAUCCGUUUAACAUUUUUGAGUGCUACCACUUGGGUUCAUCAGAUAACUCAUGUAUCAAACUCACCUCUUUAACGGACCACAAAAAUAAAUUAAAGAAUUCAAAUGGUGGAAAUCUACAAUGGUGGAAGUCCAAAGUGGAUUGAAAUUUAGGGCUUUCUGAGUGUAAAAACUGUUUUAGUUCUUCUUCUUUGUUUAAGCUCAUCAACCCUAAAAAUGGCAAGAUCUAAGCAUAAAACAUCAUAAUACAUCUUAAUACUUCUUAUACUCAAGGAUCUACCAUGAUCCAUCAUCUAUUUCAUCAAAAUCCAAGAACAUAAGCUAAGAAAUCAAACUAGGGUUUGAGAUUUUAUACCUUUGGUGAUCUUCCUCUUGAUUUCCUCUUCCUUUCUUCUCUUCUCUUCUCUUCUCUACCUUCUUUAAUGGCUGACAUCCUCUCUCUCCUUUCCUCUUCUUUGGUCGGGUGGGGUGAGAAGAUGAGAGAAAAUGUUUCAUUUCUGUCUUCCUUUCCUCUAUUAAAUGAAUUAGAUAAAGUGGGGAACUAGAU
rnacentral:lncRNA from 1 species